rnacentral:rRNA from 1 species
UGGGGAAUAUUGGACAAUGGGGGAAACCCUGAUCCAGCGACGCCGCGUGUGUGAAGAAGGCCUGCGGGUUGUAAAGCACUUUUAGUGGGGAUGAAAAAUUCAGGGCUAAUAUCCCUGGGUCUUGACCUAACCCAAAGAAAAAGCACCGGCUAACUCUGUGCCAGCAGCCGCGGUAAUACAGAGGGUGCGAGCGUUAAUCGGAAUUACUGGGCGUAAAGCGUGCGUAGACGGUUAGAUAAGUCGGGUGUGAAAGCCCCGGGCUCAACCUGGGAAUUGCAUUCGAGACUGUUUAGCUAGGGUACGGAAGAGGGAAGCGGAAUUUCAGGUGUAGCGGUGAAAUGCGUAGAUAUCUGAAGGAACACCAGUGGCGAAAGCGGCUUCCUGGUCCAGUACCGACGUUCAGGCACGAAAGCGUGGGGAGCAAACAGGAUUAGAUACCCUGGUAGUCCACGCCAUAAACGAUGAGAACUAGACGUUGGGGGGGUAAGCCUCUCAGUGUCGCAGCUAACGCGCUAAGUUGUCCGCCUGGGGA